rnacentral:tRNA from 4 species
GCCGUCGUAGCUCAGCCUGGAAGAGCACUCGGCUGAAGACCGAGCUGUCGUGAGCUCAAAUCUCACCGGCGGCA